AAUCCGUGUUGUGGGCAUCGUCUUACAAGAUCCUUGUACCUUUCGCAAGCUUCAUAGAGUGUCUCACCAUCUUGUUGAGUGAAAGAAGCAAUGUCAUGUCGAAGUUU